UACGUAGGGUGUGAGCGUUAAUCGGAAUUACUGGGCGUAAAGCGUGCGCAGGCGGUUCGUCGUGUCCGAUGUGAAAGCCCCGGGCUCAACCUGGGAAUGGCAUUGGAAACUGGCGGACUCGAGUGUGGCAGAGGGGGGUGGAAUUCCGCGUGUAGCAGUGAAAUGCGUAGAGAUGCGGAGGAACACCGAUGGCGAAGGCAGCCCCCUGGGCUAACACUGACGCUCAGGCACGAAAGCGUGGGGAGCAAACAGG
rnacentral:rRNA from 1 species